rnacentral:misc_RNA from 1 species
AUCAUCACUUGGAGAACCAAGAAGUUUCACAAAUAUUGGCACAGCACCAUGAUCGAUGACCACCUUAGUGUUUUCUGAUGUUCCCGAAGCAAUAUUUGUAAGAGCCCAAGCAGCUUCAAACUGAAGUUGUGGAAAAUCCUCUCUCAUUAGAAAUUCAACAAAACGAGGAACAACUCCUGCCUGUAUAACUUCUUCAAUUGGGGGACUACGCUCAAUUGAAAGCAGUUUCCUAAACUGAGUAGUCGACUCAAGUUGCAGACUGCCAUCAUCAGACCAAACACCCGCAACCAUGGAUGGAAGAUGUUCCAACUUCUUUUCAACUACCGAUGAGUGAGUUGAAGUUUGGAGUUGCUGGGCUUGAAGACCCUCACGCCUCUUCUUCUGCAGGCUUUCCUCUCUACGAUUCUUCCGAAUCUCGACCAUGUUGUCCUCCCUUCUUCUCCGACCUUCAUCGGCAUCCACCGCAACCUUGUACCGGUUCCGCCGAACCUCAGCCCUCUCGUUCGGUCUGAGCGACAUGAUUUGAAUACCAAAGAGACGAACUCAAACCCCGAUUAGUAGAGGAAAUCUACGAUGUUCCGAUAAGGAUUGAGGGAUUUGGUUCGCCGGAGAAGAAGAGAGGGAGAAUUUGGUACGAAGCUUUUUGAUUUGAGUUUUGAGUUUCACAGUGGAAGAGAGAGAGA